rnacentral:rRNA from 1 species
UACGUAGGGACCAAGGCGUUGUCCGGAAUCAUUGGGCGUAAAGCGCGCGUAGGCGGCCCGGUAAGUCCGUUGUAAAAGUCGAAGGCUCAACCUUCGAAAGCCGAUGGAUACUGCCGGGCUAGAGUACGGAAGAGGCGAGUAGAAUUCCUGGUGUAGCGGUGGAAUGCGCAGAUAUCAAGGAGGAAUACCCAUAGCGAAGGCAGCUCGCUGGGACGUUACUGACGCUGAGGCGCGAAAGCGUGGGUAGCAAACAGG